GGCAACUCGACCCGGCGUUCCGCUAUAUAAACCGUUGCAACGGCUCGUGCUGCACAGAUUUUGCCAGUCAGCUGAACGUAACAUCUUGAAGCAAAAUGAACUUCGUGUCGCUCCUUCUCGCUGUGGCGGUGGCUCUGUCAGCCCUGCUGGGGGCAGCACGAGCCAUGCCUGAGCCAGAAGCCCUGGCCGAUGCUGAGGCCUCGGCCUACGCAGGCUACGGAGGGCACUACGGAGGCCACUACGGAGGCUAUCGUAGAGGAGGCCACUACGGAGGCUACAGGCGAGGGUAUGGGAGGAGGUAAGGCUCCGAAAGUAACCGUCAACCUACCGAGACCGACCGACCGCUACUUCUUCACCAAUGUGCUUAUGGAGACGCCAAGGAAAGCCAACGUUGUAAUGUUACAAAUUAAAAGAUUGAUUUCCCUUUAGGGCUUUUUCAUUUUCUUUUAUUCUGGCAUGAUGACUUGUCUAACCUGCCUAUGUGCAUUUGCAUCGAUAAGUUUCCAUAUUUAAUGAAGGUAUUUAAGUAUUUGUUUUUUAGAAUGAAAACGAGAGAGAAAAAAUGAGGCUAAUCUCAGAAAAAAAACUGACAACUCUCCCUGAAAUUUGAAUUACUCCGGUCUCUUGUGUAAACGAAACACGGUUAUGAUAAUAUGUUCACAUGUGUUCUAAACUGACUAUUUAUUAUCAUUAUUUUUUUAGGGGAAUCAUAAAAAACGUUUCCCACAGCAAAUACUGUUACAUUUCUCCUGAUAUAAUCUAGAUGACGUAAAAGGCUGUCAAAACUGCCCUCUUGUCUUCUUUACGAUUCUUCGUUGUCAAGAGCCGUCCGCGUGUCCAUUAUUCUAAGUAGGGAUAUCCCUCAAUGUGCAAGUAAAAUGUUGCUCAAGUAGCCAAUUUCUAACCAUUCUGUCAACGAUUUUCUGCAAUCGGGGUAUGCACAUGGAGUGCUAUUCAGUUAACCAAUUCCUAACCGUCGUGUUAUGAUUUUUAUAAUGUGUUCCAUUUACAAUUUACAGCAUGGGGAGAGAAUAGAAGAGAAAUAAGUUUACUUAUUAAAUCAUUUACUUACUAUUAUUUUGUCCAUAAGGUAUGCUUUCAAGGCAGGAAUUCUUCCGUUGGUCGCCUUUUCGGUAAAUACGCCCAUUGGGUUCUAUGACAUCGUAAUGUAAUACAGGAUAAAGGACCAUGUUAUAGUAUUUUCUCAACUGGUAACAUGCUGCAGUAUACAGGGCCAGUACACCACCUCUCUACUCAACAGGCGUGGACGCGUUUAUUCCUGUCACCCUCCACUCUACACUCUUUUCACUCGGAAUCACUCGCAACAGCAGCAGACAAGCAGGAGUCGACAUAACUUCACGAAUCUGGGACCACUUUACUAACCCUACAAUAAAGCAGGGUAUUUAAAGGCUUAAUGUAAGCAUUGCAAAGCGAAACGCUCCUGUUCCAAGGAAGUGACUUCCAACCUACACGAACAUAGGAAGAGAAAACACAGCGAG